GAUGAACGCUCGCGGCAGGCCUAAUACAUGCAAGUCGAGGGGUAUGGGUUGCUUGCCACCCAGAGACCGGCGCACGGGUGCGUAACGCGUAUGCAAUCUACCUUAAUCAGGGGGAUAGCCCGGAGAAAUCCGGAUUAACACCGCAUAACAUUGAGUUGUGGCAUCACAGUUCAAUCAAAUAUUUAUAGGAUUAAGAUGAGCAUGCGUGACAUUAGUUAGUUGGUGAGGUAACGGCUCACCAAGACCACGAUGUCUAGGGGAUCUGAGAGGAUGACCCCCCACACUGGUACUGAGACACGGACCAGACUCCUACGGGAGGCAGCAGUAAGGAAUAUUGGUCAAUGGGCGCAAGCCUGAACCAGCCAUGCCGCGUGCAGGAAGACGGCCCUAUGGGUUGUAAACUGCUUUUGUACCGGAAUAAACCUUCUCUUGCGAGAGAAGCUGAACGUACGGUAAGAAUAAGGAUCGGCUAACUCCGUG
rnacentral:rRNA from 1 species